GAGUUUGAUCCUGGCUCAGAUUGAACGCUGGCGGCAGGCCUAACACAUGCAAGUCGAGCGGUAGAGAGAAGCUUGCUUCUCUUGAGAGCGGCGGACGGGUGAGUAAUGCCUAGGAAUCUGCCUGGUAGUGGGGGGAUAACGCUCGGAAACGGACGCUAAUACCGCAUACGUCCUACGGGAGAAAGCAGGGGACCUUCGGGCCUUGCGCUAUCAGAUGAGCCUAGGUCGGAUUAGCUAGUUGGUGAGGUAAUGGCUCACCAAGGCGACGAUCCGUAACUGGUCUGAGAGGAUGAUCAGUCACACUGGAACUGAGACACGGUCCAGACUCCUACGGGAGGCAGCAGUGGGGAAUAUUGGACAAUGGGCGAAAGCCUGAUCCAGCCAUGCCGCGUGUGUGAAGAAGGUCUUCGGAUUGUAAAGCACUUUAAGUUGGGAGGAAGGGCAGUAAAUUAAUACUUUGCUGUUUUGACGUUACGACAGAAUAAGCACCGGCUAACUCUGUGCCAGCCGCC
rnacentral:rRNA from 1 species